AAGAAACAUGAAACCAAUGCUGAGCUGAAACAUCUGUGCCGGUGUGAGACACUUUGAACAAAAAAAAGUGGGUGUGUGAACGCUGUUGGCCCAGGGAAACACAAGUCCUGCCACAGGUAGCAUUGGGCUCUCCAGCCAUAAUCACACUGUUGCACAGAUUGUGGGAAGAGACUUUUCCACAAAUGUUUUUAGUAAACUAAUCUGGGUUUUGCCUAGCUGUCUAAUAUCAGUGUUGUGUGAUUGUUGAAUCUGUGAUUCAUGGCUUUAUGGUCCUGGACUCGAGUUUACAUGGUUUGGUUGCAGCUGCUUCUCUUUGUCUCAGGUGGUCAUAAAUGGUCUGGCCUAUUGUAGAGCGAGGUAGCUGAGAAAUUAAGAAGAUGAAUUAAUGACUGAAAAUCAUUGUUGUUGCAGCCUGGUUUAUAUUUUUGUUCACUGCAGGAGCACAUGCUCAGACCUCACACACCCGUGUUUGUGCCAGGAAACAGUUGAUGGACCAUGUCAUGGAGGUUCAUUGAGUAUUCGUGUCAUGUGUCCGUCUGAAACAUGUAGUGACGCCACUGCGCAUCACGCUGAGAGCAGAGCUGCUGCUGAGGAGGAAAUAUAGGACAGCAGGAGGAGGAGGAGGUCUGCAGUCAAGUCAGUCAGCACUGGAGUCACACAGAGCCGCAGCACCAUCAGGAAACUGCACCGUCUGCGUCUCAGCGUCAGGAGGAUGAAGGGGCUGCAGUGGCUCACUCUGCCAGGAGCGUGAGGAGGCUUCCUGGGCUCUGUCUGCCUCAUCCUCCCCCCUCCUCACCCACCUGUGUGGAGCUUUACCUCACUACCUCCAGCAGCUGAAAGCAUGGACGGACUCCGGCUGCCCCCCGUCAUUGAGGAGGUGCUCGAUCCAUCCGACGAGCUGUGUGAGCUGAAGGUGGAGAAGCCGGCCAUGUUGGCAGAAACACUGAUGACCAAAGAACAGGAGUCCCUGGAGGAGACAGAGAGGGAUGGAGAGAAAGGCCAGCAGGAGGGACAGAAGGAGGUGAAGGAGGAGGAU